rnacentral:rRNA from 1 species
GACAAACGCUGGCGGCGUGCUUAACACAUGCCAGUCGAACCGGAAAGGCUCUUCGGAGUACUCGAGUGGCGAACGGGUGAGUAACACGUGGGUAAUCUGCCUCGCACUCUGGGAUAAGCCUGGGAAACUAGGUCUAAUACCGGAUAUGACCAUUCAUCUAAUGGUGACUGGUGUAAAGCAUUUGCGGUGCGGGAUGAGCCCGCGGCCUAUCAGCUUGUUGGUGGGGUAACUGCCUACCAAGGCAACGACGGGUAGCCGGCCUGAGAGGGCGACCGGCCACACUGGGACUGAGAUACGGCCCAGACUCCUACGGGAGGCAGCGGUGGGGAAUAUUGCACAAUGGGCGGAAGCCUGAUGCAGCGACGCCGCGUGAGGGAUGACGGCCUUCGGGUUGUAAACCUCUUUCAGUAGGAAAGAAGCGAAAGUGACUGUACCUACAAAAGAAGGACCGGCCAACUACGUGCCUGCAGCCGCGGUAAUACGUAGGGUCCGAGCGUUGUCCGGAAUCACUGGGCGUAAAGAGCUCGUAGGUGGUUUGUCGCGUUGUUCGUGAAAACUCACAGCUUAACUGUGAGUGUGCGAGCGAUACGGGCAGACUAGAGUACUGCAGGGGAGACUGGAAUUCCUGGU